rnacentral:rRNA from 1 species
AGACGUCUACAUUAGAUACCCGCGUAGUCCCAGCCGUAAACUAUGUGCGUUAGGUGUGUCAGUGACCACGUGUCACUGAGGUGCCGAAGGGAAACCGUGAAACGCACCGCCUGGGAGUACGGCCGCAAGGCUGAAACUUAAAGGAAUUGGCGGGGGAGCACCACAACGGGUGGAGCUUGCGGUUUAAUUGGAUUCGACGCCGGAAAUCUUACCGGGACCGACAGCAACAUGAAGGCCAGGCUGAAGACUUUGCCGGAUUAGCUG